rnacentral:rRNA from 1 species
CCCUACUGCUAUCGGGGUGGGACUAAGACAUGCUAGUCGAGCGCCUUGAGCUAUGGCGAGGCGCGGCGUACAGCUCAGUAACACGUGGCUAACCUACCCUUAGGACGGAGACAACCCCGGGAAACUGGGGCUAAUAUCUGAUAGGUGAGGAGGCCUGGAAUGGUUCUUCGCUGAAAAGGCGUUGAAACCAUGCUUUUCAGCGUCGCCUAAGGAUGGGGCCGCGUCCGAUCAGGUUGUUGGUGGGGUGACGGCUCACCAAGCCUAUAACCGGUACGGGCCGUGAGAGCGGGAGCCCGGAGAUGGGCACUGAGACAAGGGCCCAGGCCCUACGGGGCGCAGCAGUCGCGAAAACUCCGCAAUGCGCGAAAGCGUGACGGGGCUACCCCGAGUGCCGUCCGCUGAGGAUGGCUUUUCCCCGGUGUAAUGAGCCGGGGGAAUAAGGAGGGGGCAAGUCUGGUGUCAGCCGCCGCGGUAAUACCAGCUCUCCGAGUGGUAGGGACGAUUAUUGGGCUUAAAGCGUCCGUAGCCGGCUUAGCAAGUCUUCUGUUAAAUUCAGCGACCUAAUCGUUGAGCCGCGGGAGAUACUACUAGGCUAGGAGGCGGGAGAGGCCGACGGUAUUCUCGGGGUAGGGGUGAAAUCCUAUAAUCCCGGGAGGACCACCAGUGGCGAAGGCUGUCGGCUAGAACGCGCUCGACGGUGAGGGACGAAAGCUGGGGGAGCGAACCGGAUUAGAUACCCGGGUAGUCCCAGCUGUAAACGAUGCGGGCUAGGUGUUGGGGUGGCUACGAGCCACUUCAGUGCCGCAGGGAAGCCAUUAAGCCCGCCGCCUGGGGAGUACGGCCGCAAGGCUGAAACUUAAAGGAAUUGGCGGGGGAGCACCACAAGGCGUGAAGCUUGCGGUUC